GGGACGGGGGCGCGCCUGUGGGACGGCGCGCCGGAUGGUCUCUCCUCAGGAUCCCUUCGCAGGCCCGCUGCGUCCGAUGCCCGACGGACGACGCG
rfam:Jannaschia seosinensis strain CECT 7799 genome assembly, contig: 0081